UGACUCAUGAAUUUAAGUAAUUUCUCAAACCAAUUUAGUUCUUUAAAAAUCUAGAUUACCUUUGACUUUCUAUUAACCACCAUAUGAGACCUAAUUCUAGAGUCCUGUUAGUGUAGAACUCACCAGACUGUGAUGAUAUAUAAAGUCACUAUUUCCUAGUCUCUAACUUGGGUGUCAUUAUUCUUUCAAUGUAGUCUUGAGCUUUUUUUUUUUUUUAAUGCUUAAAAGUUGAAAGUUCAUUCUAUAACCUUGAUAGAACAUCUUUAGUUUCCAACAGCAGUUCUAGUUACUUAAGGGAUGAUUAUAUUAUUUCUUUCCCUUGAAUCUUCAUGGCUAUAUGAAGCCU
rnacentral:lncRNA from 1 species